rnacentral:rRNA from 1 species
AUGAUUCAAGUUCAAGUUCCAGGAAGGACGUUCACGCCAGUCACUGAGCCCAUAGAGUUUUCUUUCGAUGCACCAACCUGGAGUCUAGGAAAGAGUAUGACAGCUCACAUCACCAUGGGACGCAUUGGAGAAGUUUACCACAAUGAUCUCAAGAAUACAAUCUAUCAGAUUUGUGGGCGCCGAGAUGAGCAAUGGGAGAUGAUCAGCACCAGGAAGGAUAUAUCGAUUGCCUCUUUCAUCCAGGAGUUAAACCAGCACAUUCGACGCCAGGAGAACCAGAUGUGCGCAGGCAUGGCGGAUUUGAAGAAAGCAAUGAGAAGGAUCACGGAACUGGAGGAAGAACUCAAGGCUACACGCGAGGAUUAUAUGGAGAAAAUCGUCGCACUAGUGAAGAAGAAUGGCGACCUGACAAAGAAGCUAGGAGUAUUCAUGGGAGACCCUGCGCCAGGAGGAGAAGAUGACGAUUCCACUUGCCCGGAGAACUACAUCAUCAUCGACGACACCGACUCGGACCCUGACGAUAGCGAUGAUGACUAUGUUGAUGAAGCUGGAGCAGAUAUCAUGGAGUCUUCGACUGAUCAUUUUUUCUAG